UACGUAGGGCGCGAGCGUUGUCCGGAAUUACUGGGCGUAAAGGGUCUGUAGGUGGCUUGCUAAGUCAGACGUGAAAUCCCUCAGCUUAACUGGGGAACUGCGUCUGAGACUGGCGAGCUUGAGGGCAGGAGAGGAACGCGGAAUUCCAGGUGUAGCGGUGAAAUGCGUAGAUAUCUGGAGGAACACCGGUGGCGAAGGCGGCGUUCUGGACUGCAUCUGACACUGAAAGACGAAAGCCAGGGGAGCAAACGGG
rnacentral:rRNA from 1 species